rnacentral:rRNA from 1 species
GACGAACCGUGCGAACGUUGUUCGGAAUCACUGGGCUUAAAGGGCGCGUAGGCGGGUGUGCAAGUCUGUGGUGAAAGCCUCCAGCUUAACUGGAGAAGUGCCAUGGAUAUUGCGCAUCUUGAGGAGGGUAGGGGCAUCUGGAACAUUGGGUGGAGCGGUGAAAUGCGUUGAUAUCCAAUGGAACUCCGGUGGCGAAGGCGAGGUGCUGGACCCUUUCUGACGCUGAGGCGCGAAAGCCAGGGGAGCAAACGGG